AUUGAACGCUAGCGGGAUGCCUUACACAUGCAAGUCGAACGGAGUGGCGAACGGGUGAGUAAUGUAUAGGAACGUGCCCAGUAGCGGGGGAUAACUACGAGAAAGCGUAGCUAAUACCGCAUACUAUAGGAGCGGCCGCUAGGGGCUUAGCUAGUUGGUGGGGUAACGGCUCACCAAGGCGACGAUGCCGAGCUGGUCUGAGAGGAUGACCAGCCACACUGUAACUGAGACACGGUCCAGACUCCUACGGGAGGCAGCAGUAGGGAAUUUUUGACAAUGGGGGAAACCCUGAUCCAGACAUCCCGCGUGUGCGAUGAAGGCCUUCGGGUUGUAAAGCACUUUUGUCAGGAAAGCGGUACCUACAGAAUAAGCACCGGCUAACUACGUGCCAGCAGCCGCGGUAAUAC
rnacentral:rRNA from 1 species